GUAAGUGACCUGCCCUUGGUGAGCCCUCACUGCAGACGUGAUCUUUCAACCGCAGGGAGACAACUGUGCUCCACGGGAGAGAGUGGCAUCGGGUCAGGACUGUGCUGUCCUUCAGCUCACAGUGGCUCCGUGCUCAGCCUCUGCACUGCGACCUUGAAGUUCACUAUCAGAAUCAGGCAGCCCCUGUACUGAAGGAGUUUCAGGUUCAAAGCACCAUGUCCAGCCAGCACCAUGGUCAGGCAGGAGCUGAGGAUAGAAAAUGGAAGAGCAGGGCCGGGCACAGUGGCUCAUGCUUAUAAUCUCAGCACUUUGGGAGGCCGAGUUUCUGAACUAAGCCAGGCCGCAGUCUGUCAUGUCAGGACUCAAGUGCGGAGGCAUCCUCAGGCCAAGUUUACGUUAAUCUAACACCACUGAGAGGCCACAAGAUGACAAAGAAAAAUCCAGCAUCGACAAGGCACAUCUAGAAAUCUCACAAGACUUCUCAGCCUCCACGACUCUUGUAAAUAUGAAUUUAACCCGCUGGGUAAAUUGGUAAUAAAAUUCUCUUUGUGUUAAGGCA
rnacentral:lncRNA from 13 species